GCAUUGGUGGUUCAGUGGUAGAAUUCUUACCUUCCGUGCAGAAGACUCGGGUUGGAUUCUCAGCCAUUGCA
rnacentral:tRNA from 1 species